rnacentral:rRNA from 1 species
CCUACGGGGGGCAGCAGUCGAGGAUCUUUGGCAAUGGACGCAAGUCUGACCAAGCGACGCCGCGUGGAUGAUGAAGGCCUUCGGGUUGUAAAAUCCUGUCGAGGGGGACGAAGCCGAAAGGUUGACCGAUCCCUGGAGGAAGGGCGGGCUAAGUUCGUGCCAGCAGCCGCGGUAAGACGAACUGCCCAAACGUUGUUCGGAAUCACUGGGCUUAACGGGCGCGUAGGCGGGCAUAAAAGUCGGGGGUGAAAUCCGGCAGCUUAACUGUCGAAGUGCCUUCGAUACUGUAUGUCUUGAGGGAGGUAGGGGUCCGUGGAACUUCUGGUGGAGCGGUGAAAUGCGUGGAUAUCAGAAGGAACGCCGGUGGCGAAAGCGACGGACUGGAUCUUUUCUGACGCUGAGGCGCGAAAGCUAGGGGAGCAAACGGGAUUAGAUACCCCAGUAGUC